GAGGCGUUCUUCGGUAAGGACCUGCUGGAUAAGAGCAAGCAGAGCAGGCAACAGGCGGUGGAGUCUGGCCUAAUGGAGGAGGGCCAAGCAAGGACCGGAGCCGGGCCCCAGAGGGACAGGAAGCAACCCACCACCAGCUUCCUGGACCCCUCCUCGUACCCCCUCCUCAGUGUGACCUCGGGCACGUCCAGACCCACCAGACCACCAGGACCUCGUAUGUACUACACAGAUACACAUAGAGACACAGACACAGACACUCACACACACACAUGCUCGCACGCUCACACACACACGCUCACACACACACACACACACUCUUUUCCAUUGAUCCAUGCUGUGGUUCCUGACUGUCUGUCUUCUCAUCCACAGAGCCCUCUGAAGAACCUCUAGUGGAUCUGUCGGAGGUUCUCAACACGGAUGCAGAUCUCCUGGGAAUGCUGGGGAAACAGACAGGUGACUCUGGUCUUGAUUUUUUCCAUUUCCAGGUUGACACCUCACCUCCUCCUUUUGCUGGUCUGGACAUUGGACCCCUGACAGACAGCUCCCCAGCGCUGUCUCAGUCCGGCCGGAGGCCACUCCGUACGCUCCCAGAUGAACAUCUGGACGGGAUCCUCAGUCCAGAGCUGGAGAUGGCUGACGGUCUGGAGAUGGCUGACGAAUCGAUUCUCAGCAAACUCUACAAAAUACCAGAGCUGGAGGGGAAGGAUGUGGAGGACCUGUUCACUGCCGUCCUGAGCCCCAGCCAUCCACCACAGCUGCCUCACCCCCACGGCCCACCUGGAGCCAGCCUGACACACCCACAUGCAGGUAUGAUACCUAUAUUGAUCCUGUAGCAGUUACUGGCAGUCUUUCGCUCUUAUCUGAAUAUUUUAUCAGACCUAUGUGACCAGCUGGGUCUUCAGUGUACCACAAAACAGCCCACUGAGAUAAAGCCUAGGCAUUAGCUCUGGGAGCCAAUGCAAGUAUUCAGGUCUCAGGUGAGGUUGCUUGUCACGUGAGCAUGGUUUGCCCAAAGUAAUGCAUUGAUAAAA
rnacentral:lncRNA from 13 species